UACGGAGGGUGCGAGCGUUAAUCGGAAUUACUGGGCGUAAAGCGUGCGUAGGCGGUUUGAUAAGUCGGGUGUGAAAGCCCCGGGCUUAACCUGAGAAUUGCAUUCGAUACUGUCUGACUCGAGUCUGGGAGAGGGAAGCGGAAUUCCGGGUGUAGCGGUGAAAUGCGUAGAUAUCCGGAGGAACAUCAGUGGCGAAGGCGGCUUCCUGGCCUAAGACUGACGCUGAGGUACGAAAGCGUGGGGAGCAAACAGG
rnacentral:rRNA from 1 species